rnacentral:misc_RNA from 1 species
GAAAUGCGAUAAGUAGUGUGAAUUGCAGAAUUCAGUGAAUCAUCGAAUCUUUGAACGCACAUUGCGCCCCUUGGUAUUCCAUGGGGCAUGCCUGUUCGAGCGUCAUCUACACCCUCAAGCUCUGCUUGGUGUUGGGCGUCUUUGUCCCGCCUCCGCGCGCGGACUCGCCCCAAAUUCAUUGGCAGCGGUCCUUGCCUCCUCUCGCGCAGCACAUUGCGCUUCUCGAGGUGUUGCGGCCCGCGUCCAGAAAGCAAUCGUUACCGUCUUUGACCUCGGAUCAGGUAGGAAUACCCGCUGAACUUAAGC